AGUGAACGCUGGCGGCAGGCCUAACACAUGCAAGUCGAACGGCAGCACAAGAGAGCUUGCUCUCUGGGUGGCGAGUGGCGGACGGGUGAGGAAUGCAUCGGAAUCUGCCCAUUUGUGGGGGAUAACCUCGGGAAACCGGGACUAAUACCGCAUACGACCUACGGGUGAAAGCAGGGGAUCUUCGGACCUUGCGCAGAUGGAUGAGCCGAGGCCGGAUUGGCUAGUUGGAGGGGUAAAGGCCCACCAAGGCGACGAUCCGUAGCUGGUCUGAGAGGAUGAUCAGCCACACUGGGACUGAGACACGGCCCAGACUCCUACGGGAGGCAGCAGUGGGGAAUAUUGGACAAUGGGCGCAAGCCUGAUCCAGCCAUGCCGCGUGUGUGAAGAAGGCCUUCGGGUUGUAAAGAACUUUUGUUGGGAAAGAAAAGCAGCCGGUUAAUACCCGGUUGUCAUGACGGUACCCAAAGAAUAAGCACCGGCUAACUUCGUG
rnacentral:rRNA from 1 species